ACUCUGAAAGCCAGUACUGAACGAAAGAACGAGCGUACUCAUCUUCAGGUGGGAGAGGACUGGUUUUAGUGAGCGUCUCGUCUACAUGUUCAUAUUCACCUUCUGAUAUAAAUGAUUCAGGUGAAUCUGCUCUAUCCUCAGCAAACGAUUCCUCAAGACAAAAUCCACACAAUUCAAUGGCUGACGUAACAGAACAGAGGGAAGAUCUACGCUCUGCAGUCAUCACAACAUCUGGGAUUCUAGGUCCAUAGUGGGGAACUGGAGAGUCAGGUGAGAGAGGCCUGUAUUCAUUCACUGACGCAACAGAUUCAGGUGAAGAUGGCCUCAUGUCAGUAAAUAAGUGGUCAAGAUAUAAAAGGACUCCAUCCAUGUCUGAACCGAGUGACUCGGGAGAAAGAGGUCUGUACUCAGGAAGGGACGGCAACUGGGUGAACUCCCAUUCAGCUAAGACGGGAGAAAGAGGUCUGUACUCAGGAAGGGACGGCAACUGGGUGAACUCCCAUUCAGCUAGGACGGGAGAAAGAGGUCUGUACUCAGGAAGGGACGGCAACUGGGUGAACUCCCAUUCAGCUAGGACGGGGGAAGGGGUUCUGAUUUCUGUCUCUACUGGCUGGGAUAUUAGCAAAUGAGGUUUAUGCAAAGUAUCUGUGACUGUCUGGUCAGUGAUGUUAGAGUGUUGUCGUGAGGAGAUAUAUUGUUUUGUCACCUCAACUGCUGUGGCUUCAAAGACACUAGGCAUGCCAAAGUUGGAUUCAUGAAAUUGAACAGGCCCGAAAUCCACACAAUGUUCCCUCUGACAGUCAAGAACCUGUCUAACCUUGUAUCUUUGUCCCGAAUGUUCGAAAACACCAGUCUUACUAUCGUAGGUUUCACCUUCGUUCGCUGGGUCAUACCUAUGGGACAUUAGUUUGAUGGGAACUGCCCUGUAAACUAGUCUAUAUUCUGGAGACACCGGCCGCACCUCAGAGAGUCCAUGUACUGGCUGGGAUGAAGAUUCAUCCGAGUCUAGUGAUAGGCCUGUUUGUACAGCUUUAGACACCAUGAACUGAGGUAUGAAGGCCCAAUGGACAGUUGGGAUCUUUUCUAAAGAACCUGUAUCAUCAUCCCGCUCUGAUGUUUUAGGAAAACUACCAUCAUCCUCAUCAUCACCACCCUCUGAACAGAUGGAAAUAGGUGAAUCUGGUCUGUCCUCAGUAAAUAAUUCCUCAGGGUAAAGUACUGAGAAUUCAACAUCUGAGGUGACUGAUUCUGGUGAUGAACACCUUCUUCCAGUGAAAGACAAAUAAUAAUCACAACAAUGUGAUCUGAAAUCAGGAACAGGAGAGUCUGGAGAGAGAGGCCUGUACUCAUUUAACGACGUUAUAGAUUCAGGUGAAGAUGGUCUAGACUCUGCAAACAAGAGCUCAAGGAAGGUAUAGCAAUUUUCUGAUGUUAUUGAUUCUGGAGACAGGGGUCUGAAUUUUAUCAAACCUCCUUCAGUUGCUUCUAUGAAUUCACUCUCUGGCACAAAAGAUUCUGGAGAAUAUGGUCUCUCUUCAUUGACAAAAUCCUCAAGAUAGAAGCCAGAUCCUUCAAUGUCUGAGGUGACUGAUUGUGGUGACGAAGAUCUGCUAAACAAUGACACUGACGACUCAAUUAUUGUGGGUCUAAAUUGUGGGAUUGGGGAAUCAGGAGAUAGAGCUCGAUAUUCGUCAUUUGAAGUGAUAGAAUCAGGUGAAGAUGGUCUAGACUCAGCAACCAAGAGCUCAAGGAAGGAAUACCCAUCUUCUGAAGUUACUGAUUCUGGUGACCAGGGUCUGAGUUUCAUUAGACCUCUUUCAACUGACUCAACAAAUUCACUCUCUGAUAUAAAUGAUUCAGGUGAAUCUGCUCUGUCUUCAGCAAACAGUUCCUCAAGACAGAACUCAGAGAAUUCAAUAUCUGAAGCUACUGAUUCUGGUGAUGAACAUCUACUUCCAGUGAAAGACAAAUAACAAUCGCAACAUUGAGGCAUGAAGUGAGGAACUGGAGAGUCAGGAGAGAGGGGCCUGUACUCAUCAAAUGAUGCAACAGACUCUGGAGAGGAUGAUCUAGACUCGGAAAACAAGAGCUCAAGGAAGGUAAAGUCCCCAUCUGAAGUUAUUGAUUCUGGUGAGAGUGGUCGAUACUCAGAUAGGCUACUUUGAUCUCUCACAGUACAUUCACUAUCUGAAGGGGAAUCUGGUCUGUUCAAACCACGAUAUUCAAGAUCUGAAGUUACAGACAAAGGUGAUGUAGACCUACACACAUCGUACAACAAGUAAUAAUCACAAUGUCCAGGUCUGAAUUGUGAACCACUUUUUGAAAAGACUGACGCAGGAGGUAAAGUAUUGACUUCAGAUGUAUCUGGGUGUUUCAAAUUGGAGUCAUCUACUUUAUUAAGAGAAUUAGCUGGUUCCUGCUUAACUGGCAUCAUUACAGUGACUGGUAACAACGACAAACAUUUAUCAUCACUUAAGUCAAGCUGUAUAAAUGCUGUUUUAGCUGCAACUGGUAACGUGGUUUUAGCCUCAACAGAGUCUUGUGUUGCCAUUGUUGUGGUAGAUAAUAGGCCUGUUUUGGUGUCUCUGUGCUCAGCUUCAGAGUGGACUAAGGCAGGUGAGAUGAAUUUGUUGAUAUAUGUUUCAGAUUGAAUAGAGUGAGGGAGAGAAUCAGAAACUGGAGAAGCUGAUUCAUGCAAGACUGGAACAAGUUCUGCUUCCAAUUGAUACAGAAAUUCAGUGUCUGAAUAUAUUGAUUCAGGAGAAUCUGCUCUGUCCUCAGCAAUCAAUUCCUCAACGCUAAAUCCAGAGAAUUCAAUGUCUGAUGUG